CACAGGCCCAGAAGUUAUUUCCCAGGAGCCAGCCAAGGGCUAGUCCUAAAGAGAGAACUUUCUUUCUUGUUUGUAGUUAGGCUGGGGCUGUCGGCCUAGGCUCUGGACAAAACGAUGCAGGUGGAAAGCUCGUCUCUUUCAGGUUUGGUCCUUAAUAGCCAGCAUCAUCUGCCAGUCUGCUCUUUCCCCAAUUUGACAACGUUGGGGGCCAUGAGUUCCAGAUGGCAUAAACUUGGAGGACGGCUGCCCAAUACACAAUUGGACAUCUCAGGAGCCAGGAUUAAACUUCUGUAUUGAGC
rnacentral:lncRNA from 1 species